UUGUUUGGCAGUAUCUCCACAUUCCAGAUGGCCCAGAUGUACUGACCACAAAAACGGCACUGGUCUGGGUUGUCUUGGUGCAAUACAUUCCAAGGUUGCUUCGAAUAUUCCCUGUGACCACGGAUUUGAAAAGAACAGCUGGUGUUUUUAUUGGAACUGCUUGGGCUGGUGCUGCUUAUUAUCUUCUAUGGUUUAUGCUGGCUGGUCGUAAUGUAGGUGCUUUGUGGUACUUUUUAACCAUACAACGUGAAGAUAGCUGCUGGCAUCAGUAUUGUGAUCCCGAUGGUGGAUGCCAUAGCAGCUACUUGCAUUGCAAUAAUAAUCGGCCUGAUGACUACGAUAAAUGGCUUAGUAGUACCCAAGUAUUCAACCUGUGCAAUGGUACCCAACCUGAUCCUUUCAACUUUGGCAUUACCAGCAAGCACUACUUGUCUCUGGAAUAGUUGGUCCAGGAAAUUUCAUCUCAAAAUUGUGUUAUCCCUUCUGAUAGGGAUUGCAAAAUCUAAGCACCCUUGGUCAAGGGCUUUCAACAAGCAUAUACCCUGGAGAAGUGCUAUUCUCUAUUUUUAUAUGUGUGCUCGUACUAAUCCUCUCCACUCUUCUCAUUGGUAACAUGCAGUCUUAUCUGCAAUCAGUUUCUAUACGUCUCGAAGAGAUGCGCCACCAUUUACUUCCACCGGAUAUCAGACAAAGAGUGAGGCAUUAUGAACGAUAUAGGUGUUUGGAGACCAGAGGAGUAUUGAAGAAAGUUUGGUUCAAACACCUUUCGAAAGAUCUUAGGAGGGAUAUCAAACGACAUCUCUGUUUGGAUCAUGUCGUUGGAUAGUUUAUAUUACUAUUGGUUAGAAGAUAAAGUUGUCUUUUGAAAGUUUUAAUUUUAAUCUCUAUUAAAGUUAUGUGAUGGAUAAGGCACUGGUUGGUUGGACGAGCCCCACAUGGUAACCGCACCCAUCCCGUCGAUCUCGGACGCAUUAGAUCUUCUUUAUGCUUUGUUCGGUUUAGAGGGGAUUGAAAGAGUUUGAAGAGGGUUGGAAUGUAUUAAAUCCCCAACAAAUCAAAACCCCUACUCAAUCCUCUCCAAUCCCUUCCAAUCCAUUGUGGAGGGGAUUAACUGAACAAACCCAUAUAAGUAAUUACUUUAAUUUGUGAAAUUCCAGCAAUAGCGUAAUUACUUUAGUUUGUGAAAUUCCGGCGAAUGGCUUUAGAAUGCCAGCGGCUAGGCUAGAAUUUCGAUGUUCUAAUUACUUUACUUUAUGAAUAGUGCUUGAUCUAUGAUCGAUGCAUGGGUCGUUGGAUUAAUCAUAUCCAUCGCCUGAAAUUAUGAUGACUAUUUUCAUGUACCAGCCGAUCGAAAAACAGCAUCAUCAUUCAUCCUUGUUUAUUCGACCUGCAGGGGACUCGCAACAGUGUAGAUUUCCACAAUUGGGGACAGCGGCAAGCAACUCCUAUGGUGCCACCACCAAACAACAAUGUCAUCAAGUCAGCAGAAGAACGCGUCUCCCAUAAAAUGAACGCACUAGACCAUGUCUUGGAGAAGCGUGGAAAGAUGAUAAAUGAAGUACUUGAAAAUGUCAAGCGACCGAACAUGAUACG